AGAAUCAACGCUGGCGGCGUGCCUAACACAUGCAAGUCGAACGAGAAAGUGGAGCAAUCCAUGAGUAAAGUGGCGCACGGGUGAGUAACACGUGACUAACCUACCCUUGAGUGGGGGAUAACCUAGAGAAAUCUAGGCUAAUACCGCAUAAUACCUUCGGGUCAAAGGAGCAAUUCGCUUAAGGAGGGGGUCGCGGCCGAUUAGUUAGUUGGCGGGGUAAUGGCCCACCAAGACUAUGAUCGGUAUCCGGCCUGAGAGGGCGCACGGACACACUGGAACUGAAACACGGUCCAGACUCCUACGGGAGGCAGCAGUGGGGAAUUUUGCGCAAUGGGGGAAACCCUGACGCAGCAACGCCGCGUGGAGGAUGAAGUCCCUUGGGACGUAAACUCCUUUCGAUCGGGACGAUAAUGACGGUACCGAGAGAAGAAGCCCCGGCUAACUUCGCGCCAGCAGCCGC
rnacentral:rRNA from 1 species